CCCGGCCGACUCGCUCGACGGUAUGCGAACGGUCAAGGGCCGCUCAACAGAGGAGCGUUCGGCCCGUCGCAAGCGCGUCAGACGCAUCGGCGAUCGGACCUCGUGCCGGUUCCGAUCUCUGGCGACUGUUGGCGGCGGAGCUCUCGAACAGACCCCUGACCGAUCUGCGACGCUAUAGCUUUGGGUACUUUCAGGACCCGUCUUGAAACACGGACCAAGGAGUCUAGCAUGUGCGCGAGUCAUUGGGACAAACUAGACCCAAAGGCGCAAUGAAAGUGAAGGUCCGCCUCGCGCGGACUGGGGGAGGACGGGCGGUUCGCCCUCAAAAGCGGCCGCCCCGCACUCCCGGGGCGUCUCGUUCUCAUCGCGAGGAGAGGCGCACCGAGAGCGUACACGCUGGGACCCGAAAGAUGGUGACCUAUGCCUGGUC
rnacentral:rRNA from 1 species